GACGAACGCUGGCGGCGUGCCUAAUACAUGCAAGUCGAACGCUUUUUCUUUCACCGGAGCUUGCUCCACCGAAAGAAAAAGAGUGGCGAACGGGUGAGUAACACGUGGGUAACCUGCCCAUCAGAAGGGGAUAACACUUGGAAACAGGUGCUAAUACCGUAUAACACUAUUUUCCGCAUGGAAGAAAGUUGAAAGGCGCUUUUGCGUCACUGAUGGAUGGACCCGCGGUGCAUUAGCUAGUUGGUGAGGUAACGGCUCACCAAGGCAACGAUGCAUAGCCGACCUGAGAGGGUGAUCGGCCACACUGGGACUGAGACACGGCCCAGACUCCUACGGGAGGCAGCAGUAGGGAAUCUUCGGCAAUGGACGAAAGUCUGACCGAGCAACGCCGCGUGAGUGAAGAAGGUUUUCGGAUCGUAAAACUCUGUUGUUAGAGAAGAACAAGGA
rnacentral:rRNA from 1 species